GCCGUGAGGGCCGUGCCCGUCUGAAGGAGGCGGCAGAGCCGGCGUGUGGGUCCCCAGCACCUCGGCAGAUGUUGGGCUGCGCUCCCCAGAGUGGGAUUUGGUGCAGUGACAGCAAAGGCAGUGAGCGCAGCGCGUCCUCCCGCUCGGCUCCCGGCUCUGGGCCUGGGCCUGAUCUUGGGCUGCGAGAAAGCUGCAGAGGGGCUGUUCCUAAAGGCCUGUGGGGCCGGGACGAGGGGGAACGGGCACAGACUGGAGAGGGGCAGAUUGAGGCUGAUAGAAGGAAGAAUUUCUUCCCCGUGAGGGUGCUGAGGCCCUGGCCCAGGUUGCCCAGGGAAGGUGUGGCUGCCCCAUCCCUGGAGGGGUUCCAGGCCAGGUUGGAUGGGCCUUGGGCAGCCUGAGCCAGUGGGAGGUGUCCCUGCGCAUGGCAGAGGGUGGAACGAGAUGAUCUUUAAUGUCCCUUCCAACCCAAACUAUUCUAUGACUCUACGGAUACCUCAGCUCUGGGGGCUCCGUCCGUCAGGUUGUGCUCGGCUCCAGUGUAGGGUUGGUUCACAGCCGUGAGCCAUCACAAGGCAUGGAAACGUCCCCCUUUCUGCUCAGGUGCAGGUGAAGCAGCUGAGACUGGGGGGGAGCAAAAGCAGCUGCGAGUCCCAGUGCUCCCAGGCCCAUGGGAACAGCGCUGAGCCAGUGGGGCUUCCAAAAUUCCCACUUAUUUCUUUGGCUUCCUGGUUAGAACGGGUUUUUAGAUACGUCUGGAGGUUGGAGGAGCACCAAGAGGUGCCCACCCUGAUGCUCUCCAAGUGCCUCUGGGAUGCAGAAGGAGCAGCUUUCCCAGUAGGACUCCUGUGGCCCAGCUGGUGGAACAGGACCUUUCUGGCGAGCGCCUGCUGCCACCGGCUGGUAAUCGCUCUCCACUGCCUUUGUACAGACCUGCCCAGUUUGUGUUCCCGCUCACACCAUCGUUUAUGCAGCAGCUGUUUUGUUCCCAUUCACAGCCUUUUUUCAGCCCAGUUUCCAGAGUGAACCACACAGGAUUCGUACCUGAGAGCAAAGGGAGAGGCAGAACAUGGAGAGAAGGACCUCUCUAAUAGGAAUUAAGACUUUGCAUCUUUUUCUACUGAAAUAUUUUUAACCUGUUUCUGCCUUUCCAUGUCCUUUUUCCAUUGGUGCUUUCCGGGGUUGUUCCAGCCCUGGCACCAUCUUCUCUACCGGCACAGUGGUUGCGGGCUGAGCUCUUUGUAGACUUCAAGGCUUUCCAUUAUGAGGUGCGUCAAGUCGUGACAGGAACAGACUUUUCAAAGCUGUUUGUUUUCUGCCUCAUUCCUGCCACGAGGCUUCUUUUCUGCUUUUUAAAGAAUAUUUAAAGCACUGGGACCGUUUUUGCCGCAGUGCUUUAAUAGGAUUUGCAGCUGUGAAUGUGCUAUAAUAGAAUUUACAGCUGGUCUGAAGUAUCCCCUCUCUUAAAAUAAGAUUGCAGCUCCGUGAUUCAGGAGAACGUGCCUCCCACCAGCUGCUUUAGCUGGAGCUGUGGAUGCUCUGGAUCCGGAGGAGGAUACGAGCAAUCCCAGAAUGUUUGUGUGUGGCUCACUAGGAAGCACAAUCCCGUAGUUGGGGUCUGGAAGUAUCAACAAGCCUGUUUGGGUCUUUUUGCUGUGCUGGGGACUCACUUUCUGCUCUCUCCUGCAGUUUUUAACCUGCCAGGUUUUUUUUCUCCAUCAGUGCAAUGGGAAUAGGCAAACCUCAGCGUGUCUUUAGGCCGUCAGCUGAUGGGUUUGGGGGUUCUGUGGUCACUGCCGGAUCGGGAAGGUGGCAGGUGAGGGCAAUAGGAGGCGGGGCCAAGCGGGUGAUUGGCAGCGCCGGGUGAAGGGCAGGACCAGUCAGGAUGAAGGGCGUGGUUAAAUGAGUGCGUGGCCACGCGGGGCAAGGGGCGGAGCCAGAGGGAUGAGUGGCAGCGAGAGCAAUCAGCGCAAAGGGGGCGUGUCCAGGCUGGCCGAGGGGCGUGGCCAGGCGAGGAGCGGACGGUGCGUUCGCAGCCAUGGGUUUCGAGCGAGAGGCGGGGCCCGACGAGGCGAAGGGGGCGUGGCCUGGAGAGAGGCCUGGCUUGUCCAUUUGUAGGCGUUGCCUGACCAUUUAUGGGCGCUGCUCGGGGCGGUCCCGCUGUAUCUCGGGGCGGUUCCGGUUCCGGUUCCGGGCGCGGCAGCGCCAUGAAGGACUGCGAGUACCGGCAGAUCCCGCCGGCGGUGGCGGCCCCGGGGCCGGGUGCGAUCACCGGGAUUCUCUCCCAUAGUGUGGUGAUACUGGGAGCUGGAAUUCCCUUCUUCCUGGCCGAGGCUUCACUGCCAGAGCUUAUCAUUGUGUGUGUGAUUGUGACCAUCACUUUUGUGUGGUUUCUUGGGAAGGCUGUGUGUGUGUUUGUUUUAAUUCGUAAUUUUACCAAUAAUUUCUACAGCAGUGAAGAGCUCGGAUUGCCGCUUGCAAAGUCACCCUCCCCUUCCAGACACCCUUUGACGUGUUUCAUGUUGCAGCCUGUUUCUCCGAGUUGCUCAGCUAUUUGUCCAUGUGGCAAUUUUCUCUCUCCUUCCAUCUCUUCCUCUGGGUUUGAACUGAGCUUAAUCCUCCCCGGUGAUCCGGGAGGAAACUCCCCACCUCGUGCUGCAGCACCUGGGCCCAAUCCGGGCCACGCAGAGCCCUCUGCCACCAAUCAGCCUCUGUUUUGAGAUGAUGCUGCGUGGAGCUGCCGAUGCAGCCUCACAGGAGCCUGUGCCGACAGUGGGUUGCGCUAUGCGCGAUGCCGGGCUCAUUCGCUGUUUCUAUUCUGGUAGCGAGCGGCUCAGCUCUGCUUCGUGCCUGCACACCUCAUACAGAUUCCCCUAACCCUCAGCCUUUCAUUUCCACCUGGAGACGUGCAGAAGGGAUGUGUGACGUCUUGCUCAAGAGUGGACGGGUUCUUGUUCUUCCAAGCCGGCCUGGCGUGAGAAGGCGGGUCAGUGUUCAAUCAGGAAAUUGCUGUACGAUGGCCAGUUGUGGUCUGGGAUCCUGAACAAUAGCCCUGUGCUCUGUCACACACAUCCCCUGCGCUGCUGCAGCCUGGGAAUAUGGAGCCACUCCUUGUGCCAUGUCUGCUGAACACACACCUCAUGGGUGACCCUCGCUCUUGAACAGCUCAUUGUAUGACUCUAUGAGAAAUGCGCUCUUCCUUGUGAUAUGGGAGAUCACAGUCCCGUGUCUUUUUCCUUUGGCUUGAUUUGCUUCUCUGUGUGUUGUAGGACCUGUCUGGCUCAAUAGAUGAUGUCCCCAUGGGGACGGAAGGAGCCCUGAGCCCUGGAGUAAGCAUGUCAGGGAUAUCCAGCAGUCAAGGAGAGCAGAGUAACCCAGCUGAGUCUCCUUUCUCUCCGUGUACGUCUCCUCACCUGCCAGGCAUCAGAGGACCCUCCCCAUCCCCGGUCGGGUCUCCUGCCAGAGUUGCUCAGUCCCGUUCGGGUCCGCUUUCACCUGCUGCAGUACCAGGCCUCCUGGUUAUCCCAAAAUAAACCAAGGAGGAAUGAUGGGCACUGGAGCUCCUUCUGGCCAGGGAAUUAACAGUCCGGCUGGCAUGAUGAACCCCCAGGGCCCACCCUAUCCGAUGGGUGGGAAGGUGUCUAACAACUCCGCAGGGAUGGCGGCAAGCCCUGAAAUGAUAGGCCUUGGGGAGCAUUGCAUUAACACCUGUAUCUAAAAUGGACAAUGAUGCAGACGGGACACCAAGAGCAAAAUCCAAGUCAAAGAAUUACAAGCGGCCGAGGGACGGCGACUACAGCCCACCCGCCAAGCGGCACAAAGGGGAGAUGUGCAACAUCCCAUAUAGCGCCGGGCAGGAGCAGACGCCGCAGCAGCUGCCUCCAGCGCAGAGCCAGGAGCCGAGCCAGCAGCAAACGGCGCAGCCAUCUCCGCAGGAGGACCUCCCUAACCAAUAGGGGAGCACCUACCCCGCUGCUGGUUUAUUUGUUUCUUCGUUUUCGUUUUCUUUCUGAUCGAGAUUUGAAAAAGUUCCACGUGUUAAGAAUAAAUGUACGUUAAAUGUACGUUAAUGUACAUAAUAUAUAAUAAACACUUUACGCCUGUGAGGUGUUUGUCAGGGUUUCUGAUUCCCUUUCCGGAGAGCCAGGGCUGCAGCGGGACUCUGCGCUGCCUGUCGCCGCACGCACAGGUAGGAGGGGGAGGGAGCUGCCAAACCCUCCCUGUGCUCAGAGGACGUCAUCUCUGGGAAUGAGAUUUGGGAGGAAUGUGCAGGAGGGGAUUAUUGUUCCUCUUCUGGGGAUAAACAGACACUUCAGCCUCUUGUGUUGCCAAUCCGGGCGCAAAAGCAGCGCAGCUUACAAGAAAAUGGAUGGAAUUGUACUUCACAGCAGCCUGUGACCCUGGAUGCAGCUGGACUGCUGGUUCUCCAGAGGAGAAGAUGGUUUCCCAGCCAAGCAGAACCAGUGAGCUCGGGCUGCAAAGGGCAGGACUGAGGAGAGAAACCUCAGAGCAGGAACCAACCGAGACUGCAGCAUCUUCUGUUCAGGACGCGCCUGCAGCAGAAGCGUCAGGGCCCUGCAGCGCACCGCAAACCACACCACCUCCCGGAGGCGAGGGUCUUGCCCGCUCACUGCCUCCAUUCCAAGCUUGGAAGUUGCCUCAGUUCGUCACUGGGAUUUCCCCCCUCUGGUUUUGGAAACCUGAACAACAGAGAGCAUCUGGUUUCAGCCACUGUCUUAAUUCCUAUUAAAGAGGUCUUUCUCUCCAUGUUCUGCAUCUCCCUUUGCUCUCAGGUACAAAUCCUGUGUGGUUCAUUCUGGAAACUGGGCUGAAAAAAGGCUGUGAAUGGGAACAAAACAGCUGCUGCAUAAACGAUGGUGUGAGCGGGAACACAAACUGGGCAGGUCUGUACAAAGGCAGUGGAGAGCGAUUACCAGCCGGUGGCAGCAGGCGCUCGCCAGAAAGGUCCUGUUCCACCAGCUGGGCCACAGGAGUCCUACUGGGAAAGCUGCUCCUUCUGCAUCCCAGAGGCACUUGGAGAGCAUCAGGGUGGGCACCUCUUGGUGCUCCUCCAACCUCCAGACGUAUCUAAAAACCCGUUCUAACCAGGAAGCCAAAGAAAUAGGUGGGAAUUUUGGAAGCCCCACUGGCUCAGCGCUGUUCCCAUGGGCCUGGGAGCACUGGGACUCGCAGCUGCUUUUGCUCCCCCCCAGUCUCAGCUGCUUCACCUGCACCUGAGCAGAAAGGGGGACGUUUCCAUGCCUUGUGAUGGCUCACGGCUGUGAACCAACCCUACACUGGAGCCGAGCACAACCUGACGGACGGAGCCCCCAGAGCUGAGGUAUCCGUAGAGUCAUAGAAUAGUUUGGGUUGGAAGGGACAUUAAAGAUCAUCUCGUUCCACCCUCUGCCAUGCGCAGGGACACCUCCCACUGGCUCAGGCUGCCCAAGGCCCAUCCAACCUGGCCUGGAACCCCUCCAGGGAUGGGGCAGCCACACCUUCCCUGGGCAACCUGGGCCAGUGUCUCAGCACCCUCACGGGGAAGAAAUUCUUCCUUCUAUCAGCCUCAAUCUGCCCCUCUCCAGUCUGUGCCCGUUCCCCCUCGUCCCGGCCCCACAGGCCUUUAGGAACAGCCCCUCUGCAGCUUUCUCGCAGCCCAAGAUCAGGCCCAGGCCCAGAGCCGGGAGCCGAGCGGGAGGACGCGCUGCGCUCACUGCCUUUGCUGUCACUGCACCAAAUCCCACUCUGGGGAGCGCAGCCCAACAUCUGCCGAGGUGCUGGGGACCCACACGCCGGCUCUGCCGCCUCCUUCAGACGGGCACGGCCCUCACGGCCGGGACGAGCUGGAGAACAACCUGGACUGUGGCUGUUUGCUGGAAACGCCCUCCUCUGAAGUCCACACCACGCGUCUAAGAAAAUGCAAAGGAGAUGAAAUGGUCCAUUUGACAGAGCUCAGAGGGAGGCGUCUCCCUUUCAAUGUACAGCGAUAAAACCACACCGAGUUCAGCAGUCACUUUUGUCCUUCAGAGUUUACCAUUAAAAACAGUUAGGAAAGCGGUGCCUGUCAAUGGCAUAACAGGGCAAGUCGUCUUUCCCCCCCCAAACUCACUGUAAACGACAGUAACUUUGGUUAAAAUGAAAAAAAAAGUCUUCUAUGUAGACAGAACUUUGAUUCCUUUAAUAAGGGAUUCAGGACAAAUUUGAAGAGCAGUGGAAAGGGAGAGAGAAGGGGGAAGGUCUUCCCCCAAGGGAGAAGCAGGACAGCGCAGGGCAGACAGUGGAUUCUGAGGUGGUUUUGCAUAAACAAAGGGCAACAGUCAGUUUCUAAGUUCUCCACUCACGCACACGCACACGGGGUCUCGGAUCCCACAGCUGUCAUGACUGGCCAAUUAAAAACAGUACUUCACAAAUCACUUGUGAAACCAAAGAGUUCAUCAAAGGCAACACAGAGGUGUCCAACAGCCACGAGUCACGUAACGUGAACUCCGAGUGGUUCUCGUCCACCUUGGCCAGGGCGAGCAGUGCCCGAGCGGCUCAACACAUCAUGUCCACGCUCAUUGACUCCAAGGGUGGGUUCUGCAUGUUCAUCAAUCCGGCAUUCACGGACUCUGGUGUGAGGUUGACCAAAGACCUUUAUUGUUGCAAGUAGCAGCAUUACAUACCCUUUCUACUGUCUAUGCUGGUUUAACAUGCCCCGAGCUCUCUGCUAAUUGGUGCUUUCUCUUUCCUUUUUAGCUCUGCCACACCCUGCCUCCUCACUCCUCGCUGCUCAAGGACAUAUCCAACAAUUCAAGGUCAUCACCCACAUGUCCUCUGCCGGUCCAGAGAGCUGUACCCUAUGUCCUUACGCCCUUGCCACAUGGCGCCUUCCUGCGGGCCCUCCAGCCCAGACUCUAAGGGACCUCCCAUCAUCUGAGGAGGAAUGUUUUGCUGAGCAGUGGAGCCUGGAGGAGCCGAGACCCUGUCUCUGCCGAGACCCUGAUGCAACGCAUCACGUGGUAGCUCUGUGCAUGUGUGUGUGUGUGGCUUCCGAGCCUUUUCCACCCUGCGCACCACACGUCUCUGUCUCAGCGUCCCCUCCUGCUGCAAGUCUGCUCCUACCUGAGCAUACACAGCACAAAACAAAGACUCCAUCACCAGAACAAACCAAAGGGAGAAAGCAAAACCAGACCACGUGGUAUCAGCCUCCAAAGCGGCCCCAAAGCACAGGACCCUGAAGGUUCUCCAUGCCUUGCUGACCUACAUCAUCACAGCACCAAGACCUGCCAGCACCAAAGUCACCUCCCUGUCCUGCUCAUAAAAAACCCUGACAAACACCUCACAGGCGUAAAGUAUUUAUUAUAUAUUAUGUACAUUAACGUACAUUUAACGUACAUUUAUUCUUAACAUGUGGAACUUUUUCAAAUCUCGAUCAGAAAGAAAACAAAAACGAAGAAACAAAUAAACCAGUAGCGGGGUAGG